AUGCAAGUCGAGCGGUACAGGGAAGCUUGCUUCCCGCUGACGAGCGGCGGACGGGUGAGUAUGCUUAGGAUCUGCCCAGUAGUGGGGGAUAGCCCGGGGAAACCCGGAUUAAUACCGCAUACGUCCUACGGGAGAAGCAGGGGAUCUUCGGACCUUGCGCUAUUGGAUGAGCCUAAGUCGGAUUAGCUAGUUGGUGGGGUAAAGGCCUACCAAGGCGACGAUCCGUAGCUGGUCUGAGAGGAUGAUCAGCCACAUCGGGACUGAGACACGGCCCGAACUCCUACGGGAGGCAGCAGUGGGGAAUAUGGACAUGGGGGCAACCCUGAUCAGCCAUGCCGCGUGUGUGAAGAGGCUUCGGGUGUAAAGCACUUUCAGUAGGGAGGAAAACCUUAUGGUUAAUACCCAUGAGGCUUGACGUUACCUACAGAAGAAGCACCGGCUAACUCCGUGCCAGCAGCCGCGUAAUACGGAGGGUGCAAGCGUUAAUCGGAAUACUGGGCGUAAAGCGCGCGUAGGUGGUUUGGUAAGCGAGAUGUGAAAGCCCCGGGCUUAACCUGGGAACGGCAUUUCGAACUGUCAGACUAGAGUGUGGUAGAGGGUAGUGGAAUUUCCUGUGUAGCGGUGAAAUGCGUAGAUAUAGGAAGGAACACCAGUGGCGAAGGCGGCUACCUGGACCAACACUGACACUGAGGUGCGAAAGCGUGGGGAGCAAACAGGAUUAGAUACCCUGGUAGUCCACGCCGUAAACGAUGUCAACUAGCCGUUGGGACUCUUGAAGUCUUAGUGGCGCAGCUAACGCACUAAGUUGACCGCCUGGGGAGUACGGCCGCAAGGUUAAAACUCAAAUGAAUUGACGGGGGCCCGCACAAGCGGUGGAGCAUGUGGUUUAAUUCGACGCAACGCGAAGAACCUUACCUGGCCUUGACAUCCAGAGAACUUUCCAGAGAUGGAUUGGUGCCUUCGGGAACUCUGAGACAGGUGCUGCAUGGCCGUCGUCAGCUCGUGUCGUGAGAUGUUGGGUUGUCCCGUAACGAGCGCACCCCUAUCCCUGGUUGCUAGCAGGUAAUGCUGAGAACUCCAGGGAGACUGCCGGUGACAAACCGGAGGAAGGUGGGGAUGACGUCAGGUCAUCAUGGCCCUUACGGCCAGGGCUACACACGUGCUACAAUGGCGCGUACAGAGGGCUGCCAACUCGCGAGAGUGAGCCAAUCCCUUAAAACGCGUCGUAGUCCGGAUCGGAGUCUGCAACUCGACUCCGUGAAGUCGGAAUCGCUAGUAAUCGCGAAUCAGAAUGUCGCGGUGAAUACGUUCCCGGGCCUUGUACACACCGCCCGUCACACCAUGGGAGUGGAUUGCACCAGAAGUAGUUAGUCUAACCUUCGGGAGGACG
rnacentral:rRNA from 1 species